CUCCCCUUCGACCGCCUCAAUCUCUUCCCCACCCUGAUUCACUCCUGCUUCGCCGUUCUGAUCUAUGAAUUUUGUUUGAUAGAUUGGGUCUCGAGUUCAUGAUUCACACCUUCCCAUUUACUCUUUGCACUUCAUCUGUUUGCGUUUUGAUCCCCACAAGUUGUUAAUAUAGGCCAUCCUUUUGUUUUUGCUAGCAUAGUGGUGCUGUGCGUGCAUGUUAAGAAUUUGGCCUGCAUUAUUUCUAUGGAGUGUAUCAACUAUCAAAUUCUUCUGAUGUGGAGUCUCGUUUGAUCUUUUAAAGAUAAUAAGGUGGAUUAGACUCUGAAAGUAACAAGCUAGAAGUAAUUUCAGCUCUCAUUCUGAGUUCAGUCAUGGUACAAGGUGCUUCUGGUCGAUUGUAUUUGCCUAAUCACCUCAAAUCAGCGACAGCUUGAGUCUGGCUAUCUGUAAAUAAAUCGUCCAAGGAAUACAUAGAAAACGAAGAUCUAACAGCACAAGCAUUGAAACAAGAGUCUAAGGGAGUUGGGCUAGAACUGCCUGGCAAAUUCUAUGUUACCUGCUAUGCAAGACUCCAUCAGUGGUACACAAGCCUUCUUUGCGCUCACUAGUUCCAAUAGUCUGCAAUCUAGCUCUCCCAGUCUGCAACUCCUACCUAAGAAGGUACUAAUUUCUGAUCCAUUCAGUUAAGAAGCCUGGUAAACUGACAAAGGCUUAUUAGAUUUUUCAUCCACAGGAUUGAGCCUCCUGUAGUAUGCAGUGCGUGACCAUUCUGGUGAAUCAUUAGCUAUAAAAUAAACAUGGGUUGUUCUGAACUAUUUCCAUCUUCCUGCAGCUCAACGAUCACACUAGAGCAGACUGGGAUGAUAGGAUCCAUCCUGCCUCUGAUGCCCAUUCCGAUCGACAACCUGGAGGCUACCCAGAUGGCAAACAAUGUCGUCUCUGCAGGCUCUGAGCUGAAUUGGUAGCGGGCAAUUAUGUGUUGUCAUGAACUAUUGACAUCUGCCUGCAGCUCCAAGAUCACAUUAGAGCACAUUGGUCAAAACAAAAAAAUUUGACUUUUUUGCAAGUCUGAAUGAUCGACAGAAUUGUAUGAAAUUCUUGUUACAGUGAUGGUUCGUAUCUUUCUGAGACAUCCAUUUGCAUGCCUGUGAUGUAAUCCUUUCUAAACCUUCUAGCAUGAUAUGCUUGUGCCUGAUGCAGGUGAAGGCUGGUGUA